rnacentral:rRNA from 1 species
CAGGUGCUGCAUGGCUGUCGUCAGCUCGUGUCGUGAGAUGUUGGGUUAAGUCCCGCAACGAGCGCAACCCUUAUCCCCAGUUGCCAUCAGGUAAAGCUGGGAACUCUGGGGAGACUGCCGGUGAUAAACCGGAGGAAGGCGGGGAUGACGUCAAGUCCUCAUGGCCCUUACAUCCCGGGCUACACACGUGCUACAAUGGCAGGUACAGAGGGCUGCGAAGCCGCGAGGUGGAGCGAAUCCCAGAAAACCUGUCUCAGUCCGGAUUGAAGUCUGCAACUCGACUUCAUGAAGGCGGAAUCGCUAGUAACCGCGAAUCAGCAGGUCGCGGUGAAUACGUUCCCGGGCCUU